CAGCCGCCGCGGUAAUACGGAGGGGGCUAGCGUUGUUCGGAAUUACUGGGCGUAAAGCGCACGUAGGCGGCUUUGUAAGUUAGAGGUGAAAGCCCGGAGCUCAACUCCGGAAUUGCCUUUAAGACUGCAGAGCUAGCAGGUGAGAGAGGUGAGUGGAAUUCCGAGUGUAGAGGUGAAAUUCGUAGAUAUUCGGAAGAACACCAGUGGCGAGGGCGGCUCACUGGCUCAUACUGGACGCUGAGGUGCGAAAGCGUGGGGAGCAAACAGGAUUAGAUACCCCGGUAGUCCCUGUCUCUUAUAC
rnacentral:rRNA from 1 species